rnacentral:rRNA from 1 species
AUUGAACGCUGGCGGCAUGCUUUACACAUGCAAGUCGAACGGUAACAGGUUAAGCUGACGAGUGGCGAACGGGAGAGUAAUGCAUCGGAACGUGCCCGGUCGUGGGGGAUAACGCAGCGAAAGCUGCGCUAAUACCGCAUACGAUCUGAGGACGAAAGCGGGGGACCGUAAGGCCUCGCGCUAUCCGAGCGGCCGAUGGCAGAUUAGGUAGUUGGUGGGGUAAAGGCUCACCAAGCCAACGAUCUGUAGCUGGUCUGAGAGGACGACCAGCCACACUGGGACUGAGACACGGCCCAGACUCCUACGGGAGGCAGCAGUGGGGAAUUUUGGACAAUGGGCGAAAGCCUGAUCCAGCAAUGCCGCGUGCAGGAAGAAGGCCUUCGGGUUGUAAACUGCUUUUGUACGGAGCGAAAGGGUCUCCUCUAAUACAGGGGGCUCAUGACGGUACCGUAAGAAUAAGCACCGGCUAACUACGUGCCAGCAGCCGCCGUAA